UGUUCCUACGGGGGGCAGCAGUGGGGAAUAUUGGGCAAUGGGCGCAAGCCUGACCCAGCAACGCCGCGUGAAGGAAGAAGGCUUUCGGGUUGUAAACUUCUUUUCUGAGGGACGAAGAAAGUGACGGUACCUCAGGAAUAAGCCACGGCUAACUACGUGCCAGCAGCCGCGGUAAUACGUAGGUGGCAAGCGUUAUCCGGAUUUAUUGGGUGUAAAGGGCGUGUAGGCGGGAAAGCAAGUCAGAUGUGAAAACUCAGGGCUCAACCCUGAGCCUGCAUUUGAAACUGUUUUUC
rnacentral:rRNA from 1 species